AGUCCCAUAUUUCAACGGUCAGAAUGCAGGACUCCAAAUCCUGUGAUCUAGGUUCGAUUCCUAGUGGGACUGCCA
rnacentral:tRNA from 1 species